rnacentral:rRNA from 1 species
AUUAGUGGCGGACGGGUGAGUAACGCGUGGAUAACCUGCCGUAUACAGGGGGAUAACACUUAGAAAUAGGUGCUAAUACCGCAUAAGCGCACGGUUCCGCAUGGAACAGUGUGAAAAACUCCGGUGGUAUACGAUGGAUCCGCGUCUGAUUAGCCAGUUGGCGGGGUAACGGCCCACCAAAGCGACGAUCAGUAGCCGGCCUGAGGGGGUGAACGGCCACAUUGGGACUGAGACACGGCCCAAACUCCUACGGAAGGCAGCAG